AUCAGUUGCUGUAUAGGUCUCGAACUGAAAAAUUCUUCAUCCAUUAUCAAGUGAAGGAAUGAAAAAUUCUGACGGCAAUUCAAAUUUAAUGAUCAAUUCAGUUUAACAUCAUGGAAGUUAACCGUGCAACAAAAGUUUUGACGAAGUCACAAAAAAAAACACGAUAUAAUUUCUCCAAUCAAUAUUUGUCUAUGGGUUCGAGCACAGUUGUCUUUAUGGGACUCAACAAAAUCAAUGGUGUUGACAUGUGGGGUAUGAUCAGUCAAUACGAUGGAUGCGCCUUUCGUGCAGUUCCUACGAACUUGAAAACGGAUCAGUAUGUCUCCUUCUUGGAUGAUGUAAUUUUGCCAAUGUGGAAAAAUAAUAAAGAUUUGGUGUUUAUGCAUGACAAAAGACAAACACAUUUAAGUCGUUUGUGGCGUAUUAUUCAUCCUGAAGUGAAAUUUGUAUAUUGGCCAGAUAUAAUGAUCGAUCAAAAUCCAUUUAAAAAAAUUUGGUCAAACGUUAAUGCCAAACUUCAAUAUGAGCUUCAUGAUUUAAAAGAACUCUACGUCUGCUGGGAACAAAUGAGAGUAAACUUCGACAAUUUUCACGGAUUGUAUGAAGAUCUACAAAUUAAAUUGGAAGCAAUUAAGACAACUUUUGGCGAUUAUGUCGAUAUAUAAAAAAGUAUUUUAUAUCCAAUGAUAUAUGGAUUCUUCUUUCUUGUACAAUUUGUAUUGACUUGAA